rnacentral:rRNA from 1 species
UACGGAGGGUGCGAGCGUUGUCCGGAAUCACUGGGCGUAAAGGGCGCGUAGGCGGCGCGAGCAGUCGGCGGUGAAAGCCCGGAGCUCAACUCCGGGUCGGCCGUCGAUACUCUCGUGCUUGAGCACUGUAGAGGCAGGUGGAAUUCCGGGUGUAGCGGUGGAAUGUGUAGAGAUCGGGAGGAACACCGGUGGCGAAGGCGGGUCUCUGGGCAAUUCCUGACGCUGAGGCGCGAAAGCGUGGGGAGCAAACGGG